AUUGAACGCUGGCGGAAUGCUUUACACAUGCAAGUCGAACGGCAGCACGGGUGCUUGCACCUGGUGGCGGGUGGCGAACGGGUGAGUAAUACAUCGGAACGUACCCAGUGGGGGGGGAUAACUAACCGAAAGGUUAGCUAAUACCGCAUACGACCUGAGGGUGAAAGCGGGGGACCGUAAGGCCUGGCGCAAUUGGAGGGGCGGAUGUCGGUUUAGCUAGUUGGUGGGGUAAAGGCCUACCAAGGCGAGGAUCAGUAGCAGGUCUGAGAGGAUGAUCUGCCACACUGGAACUGAGACACGGUCCAGACUCCUACGGGAGGCAGCAGUGGGGAAUUUUGGACAAUGGGGGAAACCCUGAUCCAGCCAUUCCGCGUGAGUGAAGAAGGCCUUCGGGUUGUAAAGCUCUUUCGGCAGGGAAGAAACGGUUCUGGAUAAUACCCGGAGCUAAUGACGGUACCUGAAGAAGAAGCACCGGCUAACUACGUGCCAGCCGCCGCGGUAA
rnacentral:rRNA from 1 species